UGCGGGCACGCGGUGUUAGGGCGUGAACCUGGUCAGGCCGGAAACGGAGCAGCCACAGCGCACCAAGCAGGUGCGUGCCCACCUUC
rnacentral:SRP_RNA from 1 species